rnacentral:rRNA from 1 species
UGGGGAAUCUUGGACAAUGGGGGCAACCCUGAUCCAGCCAUGCCGCGUGAGUGAUGAAGGCCUUAGGGUCGUAAAGCUCUUUCGCCUGUGAAGAUAAUGACGGUAGCAGGUAAAGAAACCCCGGCUAACUCCGUGCCAGCAGCCGCGGUAAUACGGAGGGGGCGAGCGUUAUUCGGAAUUACUGGGCGUAAAGCGCACGUAGGCGGACCAGAAAGUUGGGGUGAAAUCCCGGGGCUCAACCCCGGAACUGCCUCCAAAACUAUUGGUCUAGAGUUCGAGAGAGGUGAGUGGAAUUCCAAGUGUAGAGGUGAAAUUCGUAGAUAUUUGGAGGAACACCAGUGGCGAAGGCGGCUCACUGGCUCGAUACUGACGCUGAGGUGCGAAAGUGUGGGGAGCAAACAGGAUUAGAUACCCUGGUAGUCCACACCGUAAAACGAUGAAUGCCAGUCGUCGGGUAGCAUGCUAUUCGGUGACACACCUAACGGAUUAAGCAUUCCGCCUGGGGAGUACGGUCGCAAGAUUAAAA